CCUACGGGAGGCAGCAGUGGGGAAUAUUGGGCAAUGGAGGAAACUCUGACCCAGCACCGGCGAGUGAAUGAUGAAGGUCUUCGGAUUGUACAGUUCUGUUCUAAGGGAAGAAGAAAGUGACGGUACCUUAGGAAUAAGCAUCGGCUAACUACGUGCCAGCAGCCGCGGUAAUACGUAGGAGGCGAGCGUUAACCGGAAUGACUGGGCGUAAAGGGAGCGUAGGUGGUUUGGCAAGUUAGUAGCGUAACUCCAAGGCUCAACCUUGGGACUACUACUAAAACUGUUGGACUUGAGUGCAGGCAGGGCAACCGGAAUUCCUAGUGUAGCGGUGGAAUGCGUAGAUAUUAGGAGGAACACCAGUGGCGAAGGCGGGUUGCUAGACUGUAACUGACACUGAGGCACGAAAGCGUGGGUAGCAAACAGGAUUAGAUACCCUUGUAGUC
rnacentral:rRNA from 1 species